rnacentral:tRNA from 1 species
GCCGGGAUGGCAGAGUCUGGCUAACGCGCGGGCCUCGAGAGCCCGUGACCCCAUGGGUCAUGUGGGUUCAAAUCCCACUCCCGGCG